AGAUUGAACGCUGGCGGCAUGCCUUACACAUGCAAGUCGAACGGCAGCACGGGAGCAAUCCUGGUGGCGAGUGGCGAACGGGUGAGUAAUAUAUCGGAACGUGCCCAGUCGUGGGGGAUAACGUAGAGAAAUUUACGCUAAUACCGCAUACGAUCCAAGGAUGAAAGGCGGGGGACCGUAAGGCCUCGCGCGACUGGAGCGGCUGAUAUCAGAUUAGCUUGUUGGUGAAGGUAAAGCUCACCAAGGCGACGAUCUGUAGCUUGGUUUGAGAGAACGACCAGCCACACUGGACUGAGACACGGCCCAGACUCCUAGGGAGCAGCAGGUGGGUAAUUUUGGAACAAGUGGGACGAAAGCCUAGAUCCGAAGCAA
rnacentral:rRNA from 1 species